CGAAAGAUCUCCCCAGAAAGACAUCGCUCGGAACAUCUCCAUAAAAUUAUUUGUUUGUUCAAAAAAGUGCUCUAACAGGACACAGGAGGGAAAGCAGCAGCAAGCGGCACCACUGGCAGACUGGAGCCUGCAGUGGGAACAAGCUCAACUAUGUGCCAAGAAGGUGGACCAAUGGAUUUUGAGACAUUUUAUGGCAGUGGUGGAUAUAUGCAGUACAGAUGCAGUCUCUUAGUUGCAGCGCUCAUUCCACCAAAUGUUUCUACAUGGUCAAAACAUCCGUGGCAGCCAGUAAUUGGAGAUCCAAUUACAUACUACAGCAAUCUGUUAGAUGAGUGGAAAGGUGAUGGUGAAGUGGUGUUCGCCUAAAG